rnacentral:rRNA from 1 species
UGAGCAACCUGCCCUUGACCCUGGAAUAACAGCUGGAAACAACUGCUAAUACCGGAUACGACCUCCGAUGGCAUCAUCUGGAGGUGGAAAGCUCCGACGGUCAAGGAUGGGCUCGCGGCCUAUCAGCUUGUUGGUGAGGUAACGGCUCACCAAGGCUUCGACGGGUAGCCGGCCUGGAGGAGGGCGACCGGCCACACUGGGACUGAGAUACGGCCCAGACUCCGUACGGGAGCA